rnacentral:rRNA from 1 species
AUUGAACGCUGGCGGCAGGCCUAACACAUGCAAGUCGAGCGGAGAGGCGGACGGGUGAGUGAAGCCUAGGAACCUGCCUGGUAGGGGGGGAUAACGUACGGAAACGGGCGCUAAUAACGCAUACUCUCAGAUUGGCCUAGGUCGGAUUAGCGAGUGGUGGGGGUAAAGGCCUACCAAGGCGACGAUCCGUAACUGGUCUGAGAGGAGGCUCAGGCACACGUGAACUGAGACACGGUCCAGACUCCUACGGGAGGCAGCAGGGGGGAAUAUUGGACAAUGGGCGAAAGCCUGAUCCAGCCAUGCCGCGUGUGUGAAGAAGGUCUUCGGAUUGUAAAGCACUUUAAGUUGGGAGGCGUUACCAACAGAAUAAGCACCGGCUAACUUCGUGCCAGCCGCCGCGGUAAUUC